rnacentral:rRNA from 1 species
AACGUAGGACGCAAGCGUUAUCCGGAGUUACUGGGCGUAAAGGGCGUGUAGGCGGCUUGGCAAGUGGCUCGUGAAAGCCUUCGGCUCAACCGGGGUGGACGGGUCAGACUGCGGAGCUGGAGGAUGUCAGAAGGACACGGAAUUCCGGGUGUAGUGGUGAAAUGCGUAGAGAUCCGGAGGAACACCAGUGGCGCAGGCGGUGUCCUGGGGCGUACCUGACGCUGAGACGCGAAAGCAUGGGGAGCGAACGGG